CCUCUAGAUGAGGAAGAGUUUAUAGCAUAUAUUGUUAAUGGCCUAGAUGGCGACUAUGGUUCGUUUGUGUCCUCACUCGGGAUGAGGGUUGAACCCAUCUCAGUGAUGGAAUUGUAUGCUCAAUUGUUGAAUUAUGAGA
rfam:Oryza punctata chromosome 12, whole genome shotgun sequence.